GUGUUCCUUUCUAUUUUCUUUUCUGGCCACUCACUACUAAUUUUUCGUCUGAGAAGAAGCAACUUCAAGCUUGUUUGCUACAGGAGAGGAAGUGCUUUUGAUAAAAGUACAACGAUCUCGAUUUUAGAGAGACAUUAAAGAUCUGGAAAAAUCGAUGCCACCGACCGCCGAUGUCGAUCUUGUACACCUCCAAAUCUAUGAUGUGUGUUUCAUCUCCGAUUGUUGACCUCGCUAGAACACCAAAAAACGUUGCCUUCCUCCUUCCUCUUUGAUCUCCGAUGCUUUAACACCAACAACCACCUUUCUUCAGAUCUACAACUCCGGUGAGUGCCAAAUUGUUGAUGCCUUUCCUUCGCUGCAUCGAUGAACAUCUGUUGUCGACAACAUCAAAACAUCUUGAAAUCUGUAAUAACGGAUGCCAGCUACCGUCGAUGUCGGCUUUCUACACCUGUAAAUCUGUAAUGUGUGCUUCGUCACUGACCACUAACCUCGCUAGAGCACCAUAAAACGUUGCCUUCCUCCAUGAUCUUUGAUUUACUACUUCGAUGCUCUAACUCAAACCAGGGAAAGAUGUUGGUGGUUUUGGCAUAAAUGGUUGGUGGUCGUGGUGGUUGAUGGCAAUAUAUUGUAGUUGGCGGUGCUGAUGCUAAUGGUGGUGGUAGAGUAAAGAUAUGUUAUAUUUGUCACUCAUCUUCAUCUACUUCGUUGAUUUAAGAUAAGCUAUCCUUUUUUAUGAGUCAUGUACAUGUUUUUAUUUUGAUGUUUGCCUCUGAAAUAAAUGAUAAUUUAUCUAUGUGUUAAACUGUGAACGAGCUAUUUAUACACUGAAAUAUGAGAUUAUAUUUGCCAA